GAUGAACGCUAGCUACAGGCUUAACACAUGCAAGUCGAGGGACCGGCGCACGGGUGAGUAACGCGUAUCCAACCUACCCAUUACUGUGGGAUAACCUGCCGAAAGGCAGACUAAUACCGCAUAGUAAUGGAUGGGGAUGCGUCUUAUUAGCUUGUUGGCGGGGUAACGGCCCACCAAGGCGACGAUCAGUAGGGGUUCUGAGAGGAAGGUCCCCAACAUUGGAAAUGAGAGACGGACCAAACUCGUAAGGGCGGAAGCAGUGAGGAAUAUUGGUGAAUGGGCGCUAGCCUGAGCCAGCCAAGUAGCGUGCAGGAUGACGGCUUAUGGGUUGUAAACUGCUUUUGUAUGGGGAGAGGUACAAUACGAAUAAGCACCGGCUAAUUCCGUGCCAGCAGCCGCGGUAAUAC
rnacentral:rRNA from 1 species